GUGAUGCCGAAGCCGUAUGGCGAAGUCAACUGAUGUCACGCUUCCAAGAAAAGCUUCUAGGGUUAAUUUAGUAAGUGCCCGUACCGAUAACCGACACAGGUAGGCGAGGAGAGAAUCCUAAGAUGAGCGAGAGAACUCUUGUUAAGGAACUCGGCAAAAUGACCCCGUAACUUCGGGAGAAGGGGUGCUUGUGAAAGCAAGCCGCAGUGAAUAGGCCCAGGCGACUGUUUAUCAAAAACACAGGUCUCUGCUAAACCGCAAGGUGAUGUAUAGGGGCUGACGCCUGCCCGGUGCUGGAAGGUUAAGAGGAGAGGUUAGCGCAAGCGAAGCUUUGAAUUGAAGCCCCAGUAAACGGCGGCCGUAACAAUAACGGUCCUAAGGUAGCGAAAUUCCUUGUCGGGUAAGUUCCGACCCGCACGAAAGGCGUAACGAUCUGGGCGCUGUCUCAACAAGAGACUCGGUGAAAUCAUAGUACCUGUGAAGAUGCAGGUUACCCGCGACAGGACGGAAAGACCCCGUGGAGCUUUACUGUAGCUUGAUAUUGAGCACUGGUGACACAUGUACAGGAUAGGUAGGAGACGAAGAAGCCAGGACGCCAGUCUUGGUGGAGUCGCUGUUGGGAUACUACCCUUGUGUUACUGGGGUUCUAACCCGUGGCCAUGAUCUGGUCAGGGAACAGUGUCAGGUGGGCAGUUUGACUGGGGCGGUCGCCUCCCAAAGAGUAACGGAGGCGCCCAAAGGUUCCCUCAGAAUGGUUGGAAAUCAUUCGAAGAGUGUAAAGGCAGAAGGGAGCUUGACUGCGAGACCUACAAGUCGAGCAGGGACGAAAGUCGGGCUUAGUGAUCCGGCGGUACCGAAUGGAAGGGCCGUCGCUCAACGGAUAAAAGCUACCCCGGGGAUAACAGGCUGAUCUCCCCAAGAGUUCACAUCGACGGGGAGGUUUGGCACCUCGAUGUCGGCUCAUCGCAUCCUGGGGCUGUAGUCGGUCCCAAGGGUUGGGCUGUUCGCCCAUUAAAGCGGUACGCGAGCUGGGUUCAGAACGUCGUGAGACAGUUCGGUCCCUAUCCGUCGUGGGCGUAGGGAAUUUGAGAGGAGCUGUCCUUAGUACGAGAGGACCGGGAUGGACACACCGCUGGUGUACCAGUUGUUCUGCCAGGAGCACAGCUGGGUAGCUACGUGUGGACGGGAUAAACGCUGAAAGCAUCUAAGCGUGAAGCCCCCCUCAAGAUGAGAUUUCCCAUUC
rnacentral:rRNA from 1 species